rnacentral:rRNA from 1 species
CAGCGCCGCGGUAAUACAGAGGGUGCAAGCGUUAAUCGGAGUUACUGGGCGUAAAGGGCGCGUAGGCGGUUAUAUAAGUGAGAUGUGAAAUCCCUGGGCUUAACCUAGGAACUGCAUCUUAUACUGUAUGGCUAGAGUAUUGUAGAGGGUAGUGGAAUUUCCGGUGUAGCGGUGAAAUGCGUAGAGAUCGGAAGGAACACCAGUGGCGAAGGCGGCUACCUGGACAAAUACUGACGCUGAGGCGCGAAAGCGUGGGGAGCAAACAGGAUUAGAUACCCGUGUAGUCCCUGUCUCUUAUACA